AGGGAUGUAGCUUAGUGGUAGAGUGUUUGCUUAGCAUGCAUAAGGCCCUGGGUUUGAUCCCCAACACUG
rnacentral:tRNA from 1 species